CCUACGGGUGGCAGCAGUGGGGAAUAUUGCGCAAUGGGCGAAAGCCUGACGCAGCGACGCCGCGUGAGGGAUGAAGGUCUUCGGAUCGUAAACCUCUGUCAGCAGGGAAGAACGGUCACUGUGCUAAUCAGCAGUGAAUUGACGGUACCUGCAAAGGACGCACCGGCUAACUCCGUGCCAGCAGCCGCGGUAAUACGGAGGGUGCGAGCGUUAAUCGGAAUUACUGGGCGUAAAGCGCUCGUAGGCGGUAUGUCAAGUCAAGGGUGAAAUCCCCGCGCUCAACGUGGGAACUGCCUUUGAAACUGGCAAACUGGAGUGUGUGAGAGGAUAGUGGAAUUCCAGGUGUAGGGGUGAAAUGCGUAGAUAUCUGGAGGAACAUCAGUGGCGAAGGCGACUAUCUGGCACAUAACUGACGCUGAGGAGCGAAAGCGUGGGUAGCAAACAGGAUUAGAUACCCUUGUAGUC
rnacentral:rRNA from 1 species